CUGCAGCUCAGUGGUAGGGCACUUGCCUAGAAUGCAUGAGGCCCUAGGUUCAAUCCCUAGCAUGCAGG
rnacentral:tRNA from 1 species